rnacentral:rRNA from 1 species
AUAAAGUAUAAAUAAUAAAAAAAUUUUUAAAUUAAAAAUAUUAUGGGGGUUAAAGUAUUUUUAAUAAAAAAAAUAAAAAAAUUUAUAGAAAAUUAGUAUAGUGAGAGAAAUUUGAAAUAAAUUUAAAAGAAAUUAAUUAUAAAGUAAAUUUAAUUUAUUGUAUCUUGUGUAUCAGAGUUUAUUAAAAAAUUAUUAUUUAGUAAUAAAAUUCUCGAAUUAAAAAGAGAUAAUUAAUUAAUAAAGUUAUUGUAGCAAAAAUAUUUUUAAUAAUUAAUUUGAAAUGAAAUGUUAAUCGUUUUUUAAAAUAUCUAGUUUUUUUAGAAAAAAAUUUAAUUUUAUACAAAUUUUAUUAAAAAAUUAAUUAAAUAAUUUUUUAAAAAUAAAAUAUAAUAUUUUAAGGGAUAAGCUUUAAAAUAAAAAAUUAUAAUAAAAUUGUUAAUUAAAAAAAAAUUUUAAAAUUUAUAUUGUUUAAAAAUUUUAAUUUAUUAUAAAUAAUUUUUUUUUGAGGAAAAUUUUAAUUUAUUUAAUUUUAUAUAAAAAUAUAAUUUUUAAUUAAUAAAAAUUAGCAAUAAUGAUAAAAUUAGUAUAUUAAAGGAAUAAAAAAAUUUAUAAUUAAUAAAAAUUAAAAAAAAGGAAUUCGGCAAAAAAUUAUAUUCACUUGUUUAUCAAAAACAUGUUUUUUUGGGGAAUAAUUUAAAAUCGAAUCUGCCCACUGAUGAAAAAUUAAAGGGCUGCAGUAUUUUGACUGUACAAAGGUAGCAUAAUCAUUAGUCUUUUAAUUGGAGACUUGUAUGAAUGAUUUGAUGAGAUAUAAACUGUCUCUAUUUUAUUAAUAGAAUUUAAUUUUUUAAUUAAAAAGUUAAAAUAAAUUUAAAAGACGAGAAGACCCUAUAGAGUUUAAUAAAUUAAAUAAUUAAAAUGAUUUAUUUAUUGAAUUUUAUUAAGAUUAAUUUAAUUUAUUUUGUUGGGGUGAUAGAAAAAUAAAAAUAACUUUUUUUAAAAAAUUAACAUAAAUAAUUGAUUUAAUGAUCCAAAAUUUUUGAUUAUAAGAAAAAAUUACCUUAGGGAUAACAGCGUAAUUUUUUUUUUUAGCUCAAAUAAAAAAAAAAGUUUGCGACCUCGAUGUUGGAUUAAGAUAAAAUUUAAAUGCAAAAGUUUAAAAUUUUGAUCUGUUCGAUCAUUAAAAUCUUACAUGAUCUGAGUUCAAACCGGUGUGAGCCAGGUUGGUUUCUAUCUUUAGAAAAAGAAAAUAUUUUAGUACGAAAGGAUCAAAUAUUUAAAUUAAAUUUUUUUUUAAGAAUAUUAAUAAAAAUUAAAUUAAAAAUAAA